AGCAGUGUAGCCUAGUGGAAGAGCACGGGCCUGGGAGUCAGAGGACCUGGGUUCUAAUCCUGGCUCUGCUA
rnacentral:tRNA from 1 species